AGCGCAGGCGGACCGGCAAGUUGGAAGUGAAAACUAUGGGCUCAACCCAUAAAUUGCUUUCAAAACUGCUGGCCUUGAGUAGUGCAGAGGUAGGUGGAAUUCCCGGUGUAGCGGUGGAAUGCGUAGAUAUCGGGAGGAACACCAGUGGCGAAGGCGACCUACUGGGUACCAACUGACGCUGAGGCUCGAAAGCAUGGGUAGCAAACA
rnacentral:rRNA from 1 species